rnacentral:rRNA from 1 species
UACGUAGGGGGCUAGCGUUGUCCGGAAUCAUUGGGCGUAAAGCGCGUGUAGGCGGUCCGGUAAGUCCGCUGUGAAAGUCGAGGGCUCAACCCUCGAAUGCCGGUGGAUACUGUCGGGCUUGAGUACGGGAGAGGCGAGUGGAAUUCCUGGUGUAGCGGUGAAAUGCGCAGAUAUCGGGAAGAACACCCGUGGCGAAGGCGGUUCUCUGGGACGGUACUGACGCUGAGACGCGAAAGCGUGGGGAGCGAACAGG